rnacentral:rRNA from 1 species
AUUGAACGCUGGCGGCACGCCUAACACAUGCAAGUCGAGCGGUAACAUGAACUGUAGCAAUACAGUUUGAUGACGAGCGGCGGACGGGUGAGGAACACGUAGGAACCUGCCCAAGAGAGGGGGAUAACUAAGGGAAACUUUAGCUAAUACCGCAUAAUCUCUGAGGAGAAAAGUUGCACGCAAGGGUGACGCUUUUGGAGUGGCCUGCGUCCGAUUAGUUAGUUGGUGAGGUAAUGGCUCACCAAGACGAUGAUCGGUAACUGGUCUGAGAGGACGACCAGUCACGCUGGGACUGAGACACGGCCCAGACUCCUACGGGAGGCAGCAGUGGGGAAUCUUGGACAAUGGGGGCAACCCUGAUCCAGCGAUGCCGCGUGGGUGAAGAAGGCCUUCGGGUUGUAAAGCCCUUUAGGCUGGGAAGAAGGUUAUGAGGUGAAUAUCCUCGUAGCUUGACGGUACCAGCAGAAUAAGCACCGGCAAACUCUGUGCCAGCCGCCGCGGUAA